rnacentral:rRNA from 1 species
AGUUCGAUUAUGGCUCAGAUUGAACGCUGGCGGAUGCUUGCCGACAUGCAAGUCGAACGGCACGGACUUCGGUCUGGUGGCGAGUGGGCGAACGGGUGAGUAAUGUAUCGGAACGUGCCUAGUAGCGGGGGAUAACUACGCGAAAGCGUAGCUAAUACCGCAUACGCCCUUCGGGAAAGCGGGGGACCUUCGGCCUGCACUAUUAGAGCGGCCGAUAUCGGGAUUAGCUAGUUGGUGCGGCAACGGCUCACCAAGGCGACGAUCCGUAGUUGGUUUGAGAGGACGACCAGCCACACUGGGACCGAGACACGGCCCAGACUCAAUGGGAGGCAGCAGUGGGGAAUUUUGGACAAUGGGGAAACCCUGGAUCCAGCCAUCCCGCGUGUGCGAUGAAGAAGGCUCGGGCUGUAAAAAGCACUUUUGGCAGGAAGAAACGGUACCGCGAUAAUACCCCGUGCAACUGACGGGUACCGUUGCAGAAUAAGCACCGAAUGACCACGCCAGCAGCCGCGGUAAUACGUAGGGUGCAAGCGUUAAUCGGAAUUACUGGGCGUAAGCGUGCGCAGGCGGUUCGGAAAAAGAAAGAUGAAAUCCCCAGAGCUUAACUUUGGAACUGCAUUUAACUACCGAGCUAGAGUGUGUCAGAGGAGGUGGAAUUCCGCGUAGCAGUGAAAUGCGAUAUGUGAGGAACACCGAUGGCGAAGGGUCUUCCGGGAGAACACUGACGCUCAUGCACGAAAGCGUGGGGAGCAAACAGAUUAGAUACCCUGGUAGUCCACGCCUCUAAACGAUGUCAACUAGCUGUUGGGGCUCGGGCCCUGCGGUAGCGCAGCUUAACAGGCGGUGAAGUUGACCGCCUGGGGAGUACGUCGCAGACAAAACUCAAAGGAAUUGACGGGGACCCGCACAAGCGGUGGAUGAUGUGGAUUAAUUCGAUGUAACGCGAAAAACCUUACCUACCCUUGACAUGUCUGGAAUCCCGGAAGAGAUUUGGGAGUGCUCGCAAGAGAACCGGAACACAGGUGUUGCAUGGCUGUCGUCAGCUCGUAAGUACGAGAUGUUGGGUUAAGUCCCAGCGUAAAACGAGCGCAACCCCUUUGUCAUUAGUUGCUACGAAAGGGCACUCUAUCGAGACUGCCGGGUGAGCAACCGAGUAGCGUGACGACGUCAAGUCCUCAUGGCCCUUGCGUAGGGCUUCACACGUCAUACAAUGGUCGUGGGACAGAGGGUCGCCAACCCGCGAGGGGGAGCCAAUCCCAGAAACCCGAUCGGGAACUGGAUCGCAGUCUGCAACCUCGACUGCGUGAAGUCAUGGAAUCGCCAGUAAUCGCGACCAGCAUGUCGCGGUGAAUACGUUCCCGUGGGUCUUGUACACAAUCGCCCGUCACACCAUGUGAGUGGGCUCUUAUCAAAGAGAAGGUUAGCCUAACCGUAAGGAGGGCGAUUACCACGGUAGGAUCUUAUGACUGGGGUGAAGUCGUAACAAGGUAG